rnacentral:lncRNA from 1 species
ACCAUUCUUCCUAUUCCCUUUCAUCAUUCUCAGUGCCUAUUUUGAGACUCAAGUCAACAAUCGCUAUUGUUGGUUCAUUCUCUGGACUUAGCCAUUUAUUCCCAUCCACCAUCCUUUCUUUUCACCCAUUCAGCCAACUACUUUAUUUAUCAAAUCCCUUAGCCUAAUUUCAUCUGCCAUUCUUCUAAGCCAUUUUAAAACUUCUUGUUUAAGCCUACUUUCUAUCCAUUUUUAGCCUUCUU